rnacentral:rRNA from 1 species
CGGUAGGGUGCGAGCGUUAAUCGGAAUUACGUGGGCGUAAAGCGUGCGCAGGUCGGUUUUGUAAGACAGAUGUGAAACUCCCCGGGCUCAACCUGGGACCUGCAUUUGUGACUGCAAGGCUAGAGUACGGUAGAGGGGGAUGGAAUUCCGCGUGUAGCAGUGAAAUGCGUAGAUAUGCGGAGGAACACCGAUGGCGAAGGCAAUCCCCUGGACCUGUACUGACGCUCAUGCACGAAAGCGUGGGGAGCAAACAGGAUUAGAUACCCUGGUAGUCCACGCCCUAAACGAUGUCAACUGGUUGUUGGGUCUUUACUGACUCAGUAACGAAGCUAACGCGUGAAGUUGACCGCCUGGGGAGUACGGUCGCAAGGCUG